rnacentral:rRNA from 1 species
CAGCAGCCGCGGGAAUACGGAGGGAGCUAGCGUUGUUCGGAAUUACUGGGCGUAAAGCGCACGUAGGCGGCUUUGUAAGUUAGAGGUGAAAGCCCGGGGCUCAACUCCGAGACUGCCUUUAAGACUGCAUCGCUUGAAUCAUGGAGAGGCGAGUGGAAUUCCGAGUGUAGAGGUGAAAUUCGUAGAUAUUCGGAAGAACACCAGUGGCGAAGGCGGCACGCUGGACAUGUAUUGACGCUGAGGUGCGAAAGCGUGGGGAGCAAACAGGAUUAGAGACCCCCGUAGUCCCUGUCUCUUAUAC